AGCUCCAAUAGCGUAUAUUAAAGUUGUUGCAGUUAGAACGCUCGUAGUCGGAUUUCGGGGCGGGCCGACCGGUCUGCCGAUGGGUACGCACUGGUCGGCGCGUCCUUCCUUCCGGAGACCGUGCCUACUCUUAACUGAGCGGGGGCGGGAGACGGAUCGUUUACUUUGAAAAAAUCAGAGUGUUUCAAGCAGGCAGCUCGCUCUUGCAUGGAUUAGCAUGGGAUAAUGAAAUAGGACUUUGGUGCUAUUUUGUUGGUUUCGAACACCGAAGUAAUGAUUAACAGGGACAGUCAGGGGCACUCGUAUUCCGCCGAGAGAGGUGAAAUUCUCAGACCAGCGGAAGACGAACCACUGCGAAAGCAUUUGCCAGGGAUGUUUUCACUG
rnacentral:rRNA from 1 species